GACGAACGCUGGCGGCGUGCUUAACACAUGCAAGUCGAACGAAGUGGCGAACGGGUGAGUAAUACGUGGGUAACCUGCACUCCUUUUUGGGAUAAGCCUUGGAAACGGGGUCUAAUACCGAAUAAAGGGGGAUGGGCUCGCGGAGUAUCAGCUUGUUGGUGGGGUGCUGGCCUACCAAGGCGGUGACGGGGAGCGGGCCUGAGAGGGUGACCGGCCACAUUGGGACUGAGAUACGGCCCAGACUCCUACGGGAGGCAGCAGUGGGGGAUAUUGCACAAUGGGCGAAAGCCUGAUGCGGCGACGCCGCGUGGGGGAUGAAGGCUUUCGGGUUGUAAACCUCUUUCGCUUUCGAACGGGUAGGUGGAGAAUAAGCGCCGGCUAACUACGUGCCAGCAGCCGCGGUAAUUC
rnacentral:rRNA from 1 species